rnacentral:rRNA from 1 species
AACGAACGCUGGCGGCGUGGAUAAGACAUGCAAGUCGAACGGGAACUUCAGCUGUAGCAAUACAGUUGAAGUUUUAGUGGCGAACGGGUGCGUAACACGUGGGCAAUCUGCCGAGAAGUGGGGGAUAGCUCGCCGAAAGGCGAAUUAAUACCGCAUAUGAUCAGCUAAGACAUCUUAGCGACAUCAAAGCCGGGGCAACCUGGCGCUUUUUGAGGAGCCCGCGGCCUAUCAGCUAGUUGGUGAGGUAACGGCUCACCAAGGCUAUGACGGGUAGCUGGUCUGAGAGGACGACCAGUCACACUGGAACUGAGACACGGUCCAGACACCUACGGGUGGCAGCAGUCGAG